GGCUUGAGGACUGAACGCUGCAACUAUUUCCAGCUCGUGGCUAACACAAUCCUGUUCCCUGUAGCCAGUGUAGCAGCUUACACCAGUAUUUGCCAGAACCCACAUCAGACAGAAGUACCGAGCCUGUACGGUAAAUAAUUCUCCUGAACCAGUUUCAAGCCAACCACUGCUGCGAUACUGUGUUUUGAGAGGGGCUCAUCCUGCAGGUGGGCAGCAGUACCCCUGGACCUACUUGGUAACACCACAGUGGCCUGAUGAGCCCAGCAGCACUGGCUUCAACUCACCAACAUGAAGAUACGGUCACCUGUGGUAGGAGCCAGUAGUGCCACAUCGCAAUUCCAGACCGUCACAGAUGAGAAAAUAAAGACGUGACAACGGCAAUAACAGGUGGAAGUUCUGUAACUUGGACUAACUUUGACAAAGAGGUGUAUUUUGUCACUCAGACUGACAGAGGUUAAGCAGUUGUCACCUUAUCGAGCUAUCGGACCUUUCUGGAGCGCAUUCAAUGCCAAAUUUGUUUUGCUUUUUCCAAAGACCCACUGGCACAUCAUCUGAGCUGCUUCAGAGCACACACACAGACUCCCCAGUGACUUUCAAGGACUGUUGAGCUGCACCCAGUUUCAGGGCUGAUGUUCAUUACCGCAACAGUUUUAAAUAAUUAGCACUGACUUAUGCAAUUUUAAUAUCCAAUAUUAAACUAUUUAAUAUGUGAUUUAUAUAAGUGCAGUCUUUAAUAGGUCUUACAAGAGCUGUUAACCUGAAUAGGACAGAAGGUAGUUAUGCGCCCUUUCCAGCAAUGUAAGAGAGGACCUGGGUCUGACUGGUUGACACCACAUUAAAACUUUUUACUAAGAGCUAAAGAUCAUACGCAAAUAACUGGAUCACAAAAGGGAAUGUAUUAGAUGAUGCACACGGACUUAAAUUAACGUUACUGCAAUCUGCAGUUAUUCCCCACCAGCAGGGUCAGGGGUACUGAGGUUUCAGAAAAGGUGACCGGCAGAAUUUCUCAUGGCCUCUACCCCACCGUUCUCAAUGCAGCAGAAAAGGCAGGCAACAAAACAUCAGCCUGCUUUUGGGCUCUGAACACAGGGGCUCUGGCUCUUGGCUGCACUGAUGACAUGCUAGGUAGCAAGGAGUGGUUCUCUUCAUCUCCUACACCUCAGUUUUCUCUGCUGUGUAAAACCAAGAUGGUUUUACACAGAGAUGUUGGCAUCUACACAAAUCUGCUUAAGUAUUCAUGAAAAAAAUGUAUGUAAUAGCAAGGAAUAUUAAUAACUAAUAUUGCCAUUAAUAAUACAGCUACAGAGUGAGCACCACUUGAGAAAGAUACUGAUCUUUUAGAAAAACUCACUCACUACAGCACACACCAAAAGCAGGAAAGAAAUCGUGACUUCUCCUAGAGAUUUUAACUGCCUGGAAAAAGGAUACACAUGCUGUUUCUCAGUUUUUACUCCUGUUAUCUUGGACAGGUCUUAACAGCAGGAGCUCCUCGAGUCAUCUCGCUCAGACACCCUUCUCUCUGCCACGCACUUGUCAAUAGAACACCCGCCUGUGACUUCACAGAGGGUGCGGUAACACUAGGGAUCUCCUCCAGCCUCCUGCCCCAAGUGGGGCACUGCUACUCUAUUACUGCCAUCACAUUGGGCUGCUCUAACAGGCUGAAACAGCGUGAGCUCUCCUUUUUUCCCUGGCCUCAUCUCCUUCACAGGUUCUGUACAUGACUGAGCAGAGCACCCUCCACGCAAAAGCAUUUUGUCCACAGAGUCAGUGACUUCUCUGCAACUGCACGCAAAGUGAAAUUCAUCCUCCUUAAGAAAAGGAACCACUGAAGGAGGAGCAACCCAAUGAAAAUGUCACCUUUCAGUCUGCAGGGAAGUCAUAUCCUGAACAAAGCUAGAGGUAGGAAGCAGCAUUAGAGCUCCCCUCAGCAGAUUGCGCUUGUUCUGCCCGCAUACCCUACAGGAGAGGAUCCAGGACAGCAGCACAGAUGCCUUCCUUUGCAGUGUAUUGUGAGGAAGGCAAACAGCCCAGGGACAUGAACUGCAACAAGACAGGUUUUGCAUUGCCUUCACACCCACCCCAUCCAUUCGAGUGAGCACAAAGGCUGGGAGACAGGAGGUGGAUCAGGUUGCAUGCUUCCAAGUUAAAACACAGCAAAGCAAGCCCCCAUCAUACAGCGGACCUAAAACCUCCAAGCCAUCAGCUGAAGGUACAAGGUAAGAAACGGCCUCUGGAAUGGCCACAGGUCUCCUGCCAUGCUUCCAAGACUGACCGCAAGCAUCGGCGCGACACCGGCAUUAUGAGAGCAGCUCUGGACCCGUCCACCCACUGCAUAGCACCGUAGCGUUGCUCAGAGUUUUCAGCACUCUGCUUCUGGAUGAGGCUGUAAUGGGAAAUCCUAAUUAAAGGCACAGAAGGAAAAAGGCCUUCCAGACAAUUAAUAAUCAACCUAGCGUUAGGUUAAAACCGCGUUUUAAUUGGUCUGUAAUGAGGCAACAAUGUAUCUCUGAUUCCAUUCAAAACUGAAAAGCCUGCUUCAGGUAAAUGAAACCAACGUGUUCAUAAAGACGGGUAGUUAUCAACCUUGUUCCAUAUGGCACCAUAAAUUAUCAAGAACAGGUAAUGAAGCAGUGCCAACAAGUAAAUACUUCACAAUACCACUUUCCUUAGAUCUCUCAGUGGGGGUGGAUUCUCACUGUGAUGACCAUGAAAGCACCCCACAAAAAUAAACAGUUCAGCCCGCCCACCCUUUACUGAAAUAUGGACAGCGG